rnacentral:rRNA from 1 species
GAGUUUGAUCCUGGCUCAGAACGAACGCUGGCGGCGUGCUUAACACAUGCAAGUCGAACGCGAAAGGGACUUCGGUCCUGAGUAAAGUGGCGCACGGGUGAGUAACACGUGGAUAAUCUACCCAGUGUUCCGGGAUAACAUCUCGAAAGGGGUGCUAAUACCGGAUAAGCCUACGGACUCUUCGGAGUCUGCAGGAAAAGGUGGCCUCUAUUUAUAAGCUACCGUAUCAGGAUGAGUCCGCGUACCAUUAGCCAGUUGGUGGGGUAAUGGCCCACCAAGGCUACGAUGGUUAGCUGGUCUGAGAGGAUGAUCAGCCACACUGGAACUGAGACACGGUCCAGACUCCUACGGGAGGCAGCAGUGGGGAAUUUUGCGCAAUGGGGGAAACCCUGACGCAGCAACGCCGCGUGAGUGAUGAAGGCUUUCGGGUCGUAAAGCUCUGUCAAAGGGGAAGAAAUGAGUCUGGCUAAUAUCCAGAUUUCUUGACGGUACCCUCAAAGGAAGCACCGGCUAACUCCGUGCCAGCAGCCGCGGUAAUAC